CUACAUUUUACAGUAUGAUGAUUUAAAAUGUAAUCCCUUAAAUGUAUCAGUGUAACUGUGUCCUGAAUACCACCAAUUUUAAAUUGUAACUGUAUGUGAAUACAGUUGCUCAUAUUUUGUAUUUUAAUGUAUGCAUUUUUUAGGACUGAUGGUUACAGCAUUAGGUUAUGUAACAUAACAGUUUGUCCUGUCACAGUUUGCAUAUACUGUAGGUACCUUUGCCAGAAAAGGAGCAGACACAUACACAGAGAAUACAUACACACAUCACGAGAAAGGGAUCAUGUAUUUAAUGUAAUAUACAGAUGUGGACAAUUUAUAGGCAUUCCACAAUAAAUAAACCUACAAUCUUAUCUGAAGUUACUUGAAA